UACAGAGGGGGCAAGCGUUGUUCGGAAUUACUGGGCGUAAAGGGCGCGUAGGCGGCCAACUAAGUCGGACGUGAAAUCCCCGGGCUCAACCCGGGAACUGCGUCCGAUACUGGAUGGCUUGAAUCCGGGAGAGGGAUGUGGAAUUCCAGGUGUAGCGGUGAAAUGCGUAGAUAUCUGGAGGAACACCGGUGGCGAAGGCGGCAUCCUGGACCAACACUGACGCUGAGGAGCGAAAGCCAGGGGAGCAAACGGG
rnacentral:rRNA from 1 species